GACUUGGUGGCAGAGUGGUUAUUGCGCAAGAUUUGAAAUCUUGUCCCUCCGGGGUCGUACGUUCGAAUCGUGCCCAAGUCG